UUGCCUUAAACUAAUGAGUAAGGAAAACAAAGCGUCCGGUGAGAAUCGGUCGCGCUGACGUAAAACAUCAAAUUUUUGGAGGGGUUAUAGGCUGGCCGAAGCGUUGACGCUGUUUACUUUUGCAGAACUGCUUCGUGCGGGCCUCCCUA